rnacentral:lncRNA from 1 species
GGUCUUUCAUUUGGUACAUGGGCUGGGAAUUCGAGAAUCUUUCAUUUGGUGCAUUGGCCGGGAAACAGCGCGACCACCCAGAGGUCCUAGACCCACUUAGAGGUAAGAUUCUUUGUUCUGUUUUGGUCUGAUGUCUGUGUUCUGAUGUCUGUGUUCUGAUGUCUGUGUUCUGUUUCUAAGUCUGGUGCAAUCGCAGUUUCAGUUUUGCGGACGUUCAGUGAGACCGCGCUCCGAGAGGGAGUGCGGGGUGGAUAAGGACGUGUCCAGGUGUCCACCGUCCGUUCGCCCUGGGAGACGUCCCAGGAGGAACAGGGGAGGAUCAGGGACGCCUGGUGGACCCCUUUGAAGGCCAAGAGACCAUUUGGGGUUGCGAGAUCGUGGGUUAGAGUCCCACCUCGUGCCCAGUUGCGAGAUCGUGGGUUCGAGUCCCACCUCGUGUUUUGUUGCGAGAUCGUGGGUUCGAGUCCCACCUCGUGUUUUGUUGCGAGAUCGUGGGUUCGAGUCCCACCUCGCGUCUGGUCACGGGAUCGUGGGUUCGAGUCCCACCUCGUGUUUUGUUGCGAGAUCGUGGGUUCGAGUCCCACCUCGUGCAGAGGGUCUCAAUCGGCCGGCCUUAGAGAGGCCAUCUGAUUCUUCUGGUUUCUUUUUUGUCUUAGUCUCGUGUCUGCUCUUGUUGUGACUACUGUUUUUCUAAAAAUGGGACAAUCUGUGUCCACUCCCCUUUCUCUGACUCUGGUUCUGUCGCUUGGUAAUUUUGUUUGUUUACGUUUGUUUUUGUGAAUCGUCUAUGUUGUCUGUUACUAUCUUGUUUUUGUUUGUGGUUUACGGUUUCUGUGUGUGUCUUGUGUGUCUCUUUGUGUUCAGACUUGGACUGAUGACUGACGACUGUUUUUAAGUUAUGCCUUCUGAAAUAAGCCUAAGAAUCCUGUCAGAUCCCUAUGCUGACCACUUCCUUUCAGAUCCUCAGCUGCCCUGCCUCCCACUCCAACUCCAGAGAGCAGCCAGCGGGUCACAGUGGUCCCGCCCAUGGACCUGGAGCCUAGAGAGAAAUAAGCUCGGAAAUCCGGAGCAAAUGAGGAGUGGUCCCUGAAAAGUCAGUGGCCUAGAUGCUGUGGCUGCUAAAAAAAAAAGAAGAGGAGGCUGUGCGAGUAGCCGGCCAAGAAGGCUGCAGGUUCCCAGGCAGCUUCUCAUUCCCCUGUCCCUUACAUCCCGUCUCUUGUUAACAGAAAAACUGCUUUCACUUUGAGAUACAGCCAGCUGUGAGAGCUGUACUCCCUUCCCUGCCCCUGAGCUGCUGGCAGUGAGUCUGUUCUAAGCUCCAGUGAGGGAGGCAUCCGCCCACUUGGGGCUUCUGUCCAAGGUAAAGAGCACCUGUGAGUCUAACUGCCAGGCUCUGAUGGGGGUCUCGUCUCUGUGGGACUAGAAAGUGUCCCAACAAUCUGAACAAGGUAACAGAAAGUUACAAAAGCAAAGAGAAGGACAGGGUAAGUUGGUAAGAAAGUUAGUGUAAGUAGAUAAGAAAGUGCAGAGGAGGAGAAACAAAAGAAGGAUAGAGGUCUGCAAAGAAGUGAGCUAAAAGCAAAUCUUCAGCAGACUCAGGAGAGAUAGGUUAACAGUGAAGAGAGGUAAAAAUAGAGAUGAAGGAGAUUAGAGAGGUCUAAAAUGAGAGAGAUACUCUGAAUGAGAAAUAUUUACAGUAAAUAAGAGUCAGACAAGAAGAAGAGUUAAGGAAACAUGAGGCUGACAAAGACAGAGACCAAAGUCAGAAUCAGAGCUGUGCUGUGAGACAAAAAGAUAAGAGAAAUGAAAUGCUGGCCACAAAAGUCAGGAAAACUAGAAAACUUAGAUAGUACCUGGCAACAAAAGAAAGCUUUUGGCUAAAGAUCAACGUGUAAGAGAUAACAAAAGGGGUGCUAACACAGAAGCUGAGUCCUUAAAAGAGUCCGGUGGCCUACCUGUUAAAGCAGCUAAAAAAAGAGACUGUGUUUCAUACUCCUCCACCGACCAGUGCAAAACAAGCUAAAAAGUUCCUGGGCACUGCGGGCUUUUGCAGAUUGUGAAUUCCAGGUUUGCUGAGUUAAAGAGAUAAACAGCCCUUCGUAUAAAAAAAUAAAAAAACAAUCUUAGAUGGCCUUGGAUGCUCUUGAGACUGCCCUAAUGUUAUCCCCAGCUAUGGGACUCCUAGAUGUGACUGAGAACAAAGGUAUUGCCAAAGAAGUUCUUACUCAGAGAUUGGGACCCUGGAAAAGACCUGUGACAUACUUGUAAAAAAUUAGACCUGGUGGCUGUAGGAUGGCCUGCUUGUCUGCACAUAGUGGCUUCUGGUCAAAGACGCAGAUAAAUUGACUCUGAGACAAAACUUGGCACAUGUCCUAGAAAGUGUGGUUCAGCCCCCAUGACCGAUGGCUGACUAACGCUCUUGAAAACAUUAUCCAACUGUUCCCCUGACCGAUGGACACAUUGUCAGAGCUUUUUGUUGACUGAACGAGUGACCUUCGCUCCCCCUGCUAUCCUCAAUCACACUACUGCCUGAGACUUCACCUACUCAUCAUUGUGCUGACAUUCUGGCAGAAGGAACUCAUACUCGAAAUGAUCUGAAGGAUCAGAUCAGCCUUGGCCUGAGAGUUUGAACUGGUACACGGAUGGCAGUAGCCUGGAGGUUGAAGGUGAGCGGAAGGCGGGAACAGCAGUGCAGUGAUGGACAGAAAGCACGUGAUCUAGGCCAGCAGCCUCCCUAAAGGAACUUCAGCCCAGAAAGCUAAACUUGUGGCUUUAAUACAAGCUCUAUAUAUACAGACAAAGAGAGCUGUUGACAUCUGCAGAAAAAGACCUAAGAUGCUGUGGCUAAAAGAAAUCAGAUGGCAAAUCUAACCGCCCAGGCAUCCUAAAGAGCAAUGAUCCUGACAGUCUAAAGACUAUCAAGUUAUAGACAAAUUAAGACUGGUAAAAGAAACCCUGUAUAAAAUAGUAAAAACUGAAGAAAGAAAACUAGUCCUCUCAUGAGAAGACAGACCUGACAUCUACUGAAAAAUAGACUUUACUGAAAAAAUAUGUGUAUAAAUACCUUCUGGUUUUUGUGAACGUUCUCAAGAUGGAUAAAAGCUUUUCCUUGUAAAACUGAGACUGCUCAGAUAGUCAUCAAGAAGAUUAUUAAAAAUUUUCCAAGGUUCGGAGUGCCAAAAGCAAUAGUGUCAGAUAAUGGUCCUGCCUUUGUUGCCCAGGUAAGCCAGGGUGUGGCCAAGUAUUUAGAGGUCAAAUAAAAAUUGUAUUAUGUGUACAGACCUCAGAACUCAGGA